GGUAGCUCAGCAGUAGAGUGCAUGCCUCGCAAGCAUGAGGCCCUGGGUUUGAUUCCUCAGGACCA
rnacentral:tRNA from 1 species